GGAUGAGAUGGUGCGAGCAAUCGUUCGGACGGUACCUCCAGAAGCAGCCACGGCCAACUUCGUGCCAGCAGCCGCGGUAAUACGAAGGUGGCAAGCGUUGUUCGGAUUCACUGGGCGUACAGGGUGUGUAGGCGGUUUGGUAAGCCUUCUGUUAAAGCUUCGGGCCCAACCCGGAAAGCGCAGAGGGUACUGCCAGGCUAGAGGGUGGGAGAGGAGCGCGGAAUUCCCGGUGUAGCGGUGAAAUGCGUAG
rnacentral:rRNA from 1 species